GCGGAACGUCUGUCGCCCGCCGUUUCUCUGUGUCGUUUUGUGUUUUAUUGUGCUGUGUGGGUGAUAUUUUUGUUUAUGCUUAUUGUGCGUCGAAAAUGCCAAUUUGGAUACCAUCAGCUGUCUCCGAUUUGUGAUCAAAACUUGACACUCCGGAACCUAAAAGGACUAUAUUAGCAUCCGUCAUGAGAAUUAUCAUG